CUUCCCCAUUUUCAGAGGGUGAUCCUAACCCCACCUGUUAAGGACGGUGAAUCUGAAGAAGUCGAAAAUACUCGUGGAAUCGAAAACACGUUUGAGCACCUCCAACAAUGAAGAAUACAGUAAUGGGGAAGAUGAGGAGUAGGAUCGUACCAAAUAUGAAUAUAAUGACGGCAACAUUGAUGACAAAUGUGUGCACCAAUCAAAGAAGGUACAACUAAAUGAUAGAUCUAGUAAUCGAAUUUGUUUGAUUAAAAAUGAUUUCUGAAUCUUAAAUUUGUGACACAUAAGGCACACAAGCAUAUAAAGAAAGCAGAUCAAGUGGAAGGGGAUGCUUCAGAAAAGAAGGAAGACUUAAAUGUAAAAUAUUUUUAUGUCCUACUUCAUUUCCAUUUAUGAUAUGUUGCUAUAUUGGUAUUGGUAACCUUUGAUCAUUUAUUCCCAAUAGGAUCUUCUGGAGCCCAUAAGGUUCACAAGGAGCCAACUUGUCCCCAAAACGUGGAAAUGUUGAGCUAUAAGUUAUCGUUCAAUCACAACAUCUACAAGUCUAACUAAGAAGACGACUCAAAGUUCAUCGAUCCAUAACUAUAUUGGAAUGUCAAAUGUCAAACAAUUUUUCAGUAUACAUAUUGUAAUUGCAGAAUUUUUCUUUUUUGCACGAGAAAAAUACCCGUUAGAAAUUAGCACAACACCUAACAAUUAUCAUGAACUGGAUCAUCCUAUCCACUUACCCACUAAGGCGUAUUCAUACCACUGCUGUUACUUCCUAUGUACUUGAAAUUUAAUGUUGAAGAUUAAUCCUUCUUACAAUACCAUCAUUAAAAAAAAAGAAACUAAUACAAUCAACUAGGUACGCUAAUAGGUACGGAAAG
rnacentral:lncRNA from 1 species